rnacentral:rRNA from 1 species
CUGAUCAGCCAUGCCGCGUGAGUGAAGAAGGCCUUCGGGUUGUAAAGCUCUUUCGCAAGGAAAGAAAACUUAUCUACUAAUACUAGGUGAGGUUGACGGUACCUUGAUAAGAAGCACCGGCUAACUACGUGCCAGCAGCCGCGGUAAUAA